rnacentral:rRNA from 1 species
AUACGAGGGGUGCAAGCGUUGUUCGGAAUUACUGGGCGUAAAGGGAGCGUAGGCGGAGAUUCAAGCGGAUUGUACAAUCCCGGGGCCCAACCCCGGCUCUGCAGUCCGAACUGGAUCUCUUGGAUAGUUCAGGGGCAGGCGGAAUUCCUGGUGUAGCGGUGGAAUGCGUAGAGAUCAGGAAGAACACCGAUGGCGAAGGCAGCCUGCUGGGGACUUAUCGAUGCUGAGGCUCGAAAGUGCGGGUAGCAAACAGGAUUAGAUACCCUGGUAGUCCGCACCGUAAACGAUGCAUACUGGGUGUCCGGGGGUUCCCCCGGGUACCGUAGCCAACGCGUUAAGUAUGCCGCCUGGGGAGUACGUACGCAAGUAUGAAACUCAAAGGAAUUGACGGGG